rnacentral:piRNA from 1 species
UAGGAAAAUAUUACAGAUGGC